UACGUAGGGGGCGAGCGUUGUCCGGAUUCAUUGGGCGUAAAGCGCGCGCAGGCGGCGGUGUAAGCAUGGCGUGAAAGCCCCUGGCUUAACCAGGGAGGGUCGUCGUGGACUGCACCGCUUGAGGGCGGUAGGGGCUGGUGGAAUGCCUGGUGUAGUGGUGAAAUGCGUAGAGAUCAGGCGGAACACCCGUGGCGAAGGCGGCCAGCUGGGCCGUCCCUGACGCUGAGGCGCGAAGGCGUGGGGAGCGAACGGGG
rnacentral:rRNA from 1 species